rnacentral:tRNA from 1 species
UAGAUUGAAGCCAGUUUAGGGUUUUUGACUGUUAAUUAAAAUUUCGUAGGUUUGAAUCCUACCAAUCUAG